GUCUGUGGCUAUGCCACCCUGUAUGCACCCAAUCUCAUCUGAUCUCAGAAGCUAAGUGGGUCAGGCCUGGUUAGUUCUUGGAUUGGACACCCAGCUUCACAUUUA
rnacentral:rRNA from 1 species